rnacentral:rRNA from 1 species
UUGACCUCGGAUCAGACAAGAAUACCCGC